rnacentral:rRNA from 1 species
CAUAGGUUAAUGAGGCGAACCGGGGGAACUGAAACAUCUAAGUACCCCGAGGAAAAGAAAUCAACCGAGAUUCCCCCAGUAGCGGCGAGCGAACGGGGAGCAGCCCAGAGCCUGAAUCAGUAUGUGUGUUAGUGGAAGCGUCUGGAAAGGCGCGCGAUACAGGGUGACAGCCCCGUACACAAAAAUGCACAUGCUGUGAGCUCGAUGAGUAGGGCGGGACACGUGGUAUCCUGUCUGAAUAUGGGGGGACCAUCCUCCAAGGCUAAAUACUCCUGACUGACCGAUAGUGAACCAGUACCGUGAGGGAAAGGCGAAAAGAACCCCGGCGAGGGGAGUGAAAAAGAACCUGAAACCGUGUACGUACAAGCAGUGGGAGCACGCUUAGGCGUGUGACUGCGUACCUUUUGUAUAAUGGGUCAGCGACUUAUAUUCUGUAGCAAGGUUAACCGAAUAGGGGAGCCGAAGGGAAACCGAGUCUUAACUGGGCGUUAAGUUGCAGGGUAUAGACCCGAAACCCGGUGAUCUAGCCAUGGGCAGGUUGAAGGUUGGGUAACACUAACUGGAGGACCGAACCGACUAAUGUUGAAAAAUUAGCGGAUGACUUGUGGCUGGGGGUGAAAGGCCAAUCAAACCGGGAGAUAGCUGGUUCUCCCCGAAAGCUAUUUAGGUAGCGCCUCGUGAAUUCAUCUCCGGGGGUAGAGCACUGUUUCGGCAAGGGGGUCAUCCCGACUUACCAACCCGAUGCAAACUGCGAAUACCGGAGAAUGUUAUCACGGGAGACACACGGCGGGUGCUAACGUCCGUCGUGAAGAGGGAAACAACCCAGACCGCCAGCUAAGGUCCCAAAGUCAUGGUUAAGUGGGAAACGAUGUGGGAAGGCCCAGACAGCCAGGAUGUUGGCUUAGAAGCAGCCAUCAUUUAAAGAAAGCGUAAUAGCUCACUGGUCGAGUCGGCCUGCGCGGAAGAUGUAACGGGGCUAAACCAUGCACCGAAGCUGCGGCAGCGACGCUGAUGCGUUGUUGGGUAGGGGAGCGUUCUGUAAGCCUGCGAAGGUGUGCUGUGAGGCAUGCUGGAGGUAUCAGAAGUGCGAAUGCUGACAUAAGUAACGAUAAAGCGGGUGAAAAGCCCGCUCGCCGGAAGACCAAGGGUUCCUGUCCAACGUUAAUCGGGGCAGGGUGAGUCGACCCCUAAGGCGAGGCCGAAAGGCGUAGUCGAUGGGAAACAGGUUAAUAUUCCUGUACUUGGUGUUACUGCGAAGGGGGGACGGAGAAGGCUAUGUUGGCCGGGCGACGGUUGUCCCGGUUUAAGCGUGUAGGCUGG